UGCACAACUUCUCAACACCCCGUUCGGGAAACGGCACAGCCAGGAAUUGAACGCGACGGAAGUUCCUGGUUCGCACCCACACAGUCGCCUGUUUUUCGUUUGCGAUCGUGUAACAGGCACGCGUUUCCUGGUUGACACAGGUGCGGAAGUCAGCAUCAUCCCAGUCUCCAACACUUCUGGAAAAAGAAAAGAGACAUCAGUCUGUCUUCAGGCAGUCAACCAUUCACCCAUUCCAACCUACGGUGAACAGUCCCUAACAUUAAACAUAGGACUACGCCGCACAUUUCAGUGGGUAUUCGUCGUCGCUAAACUGCCGACCCCUAUCUUAGGAGCCGAUUUCCUGCAUCAUUUCGGUCUCCUGGUAGACAUAAAGAACAGACGACUUGUCGACACCACCACCAAGCUUACUGUGUGCGGUAU